AUGGCCGCAGUCGUUUCGGCUGUGCAUGCCGGCGUCGUGACGUGGUGGCCAGGCGCUGGUUGCUCCAUCACCCGACCCCAGCGUGCUUUCAGGCCUCUCCGGCAUCUCUGCUCCUGUAAAGAAAGGCUAUGUUCUUUUAACAAGGAUGGAAAGUAUAACGGCAUACAAAAACCAACAUGGACAACCCAGAUCUGGAACUCCAGAACAAUCUGA
rnacentral:rRNA from 1 species